UACGGAAUGAACUCAAAUCAUGUAAGAUUUUUAAUGGUCGAACAGACCAACCUUAGGUAACUGCUGCAUUACCUGGGAAAACUUAAUUCAACAUCGAGGUGUCAAACUUCAUCUUCGAUACCUUCUCUAGGAUGAAAUUAACCUGUUAUCCCUAAAGUAGCUUUUAUUUAAUUAUUGUCAUCAUGAUUUUUUUUUGAAGACAGGUCAUUAACCCCACUUUGUGAUUGUUAAAUUUAUAAAUUAAACAAUAAGGUUUUAUUUUUAACUAUAAACAACUGAGUUGUUGUCUUGGUUGCUAUUCUUUUUUUUUAAAACGCUGUUGCCCCAACAAAACUACCCGUCCAGUUAUGGUCUGGUUGAAAUUACUAAUUUCGAAUCAGUGUACUGGAUUAAUAGUGAAGCUUUAUAGGGUCUUCUCGUCUUACAGUUUUAAAUAGCAUCUUCACUAUUAUUUAAAUUUUUAUUAAAUUUACAUUUAAGACAGUGGAAACCUCGUAAAGCCAUUCACCUACGUUCGCUAAUUAAGCGACUAUUUAUUUUCCUACAUUAUCACCGUCAGGAUACAGCGGCCGUUUAAUUGUAUUGUUAGUUUUUUAGACUGUGUAUAAAUCACUGGGCAGGCAUCGCCUCAUACUACUAGAUGGGGUUAUGUUUUUGGUAAACAGUCGA
rnacentral:rRNA from 1 species